rnacentral:rRNA from 1 species
CCCUUAGAUGUCCGGGGCCGCACGCGCGCUACACUGAAGGAAUCAGCGUGGCUUUCUCCCUGACCCGAAAGGGUUGGGAAACCCGUUGAAUCUCCUUCGUGAUAGGGAUUGGGGCUUGAAAUUGUUCCCCAUGAACGAGGAAUUCCCAGUAAGCGCGAGUCAUAAGCUCGCGUUGAUUACGUCCCUGCCCUUUGUACACACCGCCCGUCGCACCUACCGAUUGAAUGUUUCGGUGAAGAUUCCGGAUAGGACUGAUUUGAUUUAUUUCAUUUCUGACCUAAAAGCUAUCUAAACCUCAACAUUUAGAGGAAGGUGAAGUCGUAACA